rnacentral:rRNA from 1 species
UACGUAGGGUGCGAGCGUUAAUCGGAAUUACUGGGCGUAAAGCGUGCGCAGGCGGUUUUGUAAGCCAGAUGUGAAAUCCCCGGGCUCAACCUGGGAAUGGCAUUUGGGACUGCAAGGCUUGAGUGCGGCAGAGGAGACUGGAAUUCCUGGUGUAGCAGUGAAAUGCGUAGAUAUCAGGAGGAAUACCAAUGGCGAAGGCAGGUCUCUGGGCUGACACUGACGCUCAUGCACGAAAGCGUGGGGAGCAAACAGG